rnacentral:rRNA from 1 species
UGUAAGCGUAUACCAAAGUUGUUGCAGUUAAAACGCUCGUAGUCGGAAUUUGGCAGUUCCGGAUGUGUGCACGUCGUGUGCGCACUUCGCGGGGAUUGCUUUUGUGGUCUUGCGUAGGAUGAGGCACUUUUAUUAGUGAACGUCCUCACGCAACCACUUUUUACUGUGAGAAAAUCAGAGUGCUCAAAGCAGGCAUUUGCCGUGAAUGUAUUAGCAUGGAAUAAUAGAAUAGGACUUGGUUCUAUUUUGUUGGUUUGUUGGGACUGAGUAAUGAUUAAGAGGGACAGUUGGGGGCAUUUGUAUUUCGGUGCUAGAGGUGAAAUUCUUAGAUUACCGAAAGACAAACUACUGCGAAAGCGUCUGCCAAGGAUGUUUUCAUUGA